rnacentral:rRNA from 1 species
AUUGAACGCUGGCGGCAUGCCUUACACAUGCAAGUCGAACGGCAGCACGGGAGCAAUCCUGGUGGCGAGUGGCGAACGGGUGAGUAAUACAUCGGAACGUACCUGAUAGUGGGGGAUAGCCCGGCGAAAGCCGGAUUAAUACCGCAUACGACCUGAGGGUGAAAGCGGGGGAUCGCAAGACCUCGCGCUAUUGGAGCGGCCGAUGGCAGAUUAGGUAGUUGGUGGGGUAAAGGCCUACCAAGCCUACGAUCUGUAGCUGGUUUGAGAGGACGACCAGCAGCACUGGGACUGGGAAACGGCCCAGACUCCGACGGGAGGCAGCAGUGGGGAAUUUUGGACAAUGGGCGCAAGCCGGAUCCAGCCAUGCCGCGUGCGGGAAGAAGGCCUUCGGGUUGUAAACCGCUUUUGUCAGGGAAGAAAUACUCUGGGCUAAUACCCUGGGGUGAUGACGGUACCUGAAGAAUAAGCACCGGCUAACUACGUGCCAGCAGCCGCCGUAAUAC